GGUGCAUGUGAAGAGGUUCAUUCUCUUGGGGAUUCUCACAUCUCACAGCAGCGAAGGUGGAAUGCCUCCCAAGCACUACUCUCCCUCCUAUUACGAUGCUCUGCACAGGAAAAAGAAAUGGGAAGGAGUGAACUGGAGAAAUAUGAACUGACGAGGGAAAAACAGAUACAUGCAUUCUUACAGAAUGCCAAUCCCUAAAUAGCAGCAGGAAAUAAUACAGUAAAAAUUAUAUCCAUUGCACUCAUCUCCUCUCCCCGAAGAAAGAAACUCAGACAGAUGAUGCUCUUUUGUGAGCAACUAGCAGAAUGAUUUUAAACAAUGUGGCUUGCUGGUUUUGGGGGCUUUAACUACUCCAACAGUUUUGAAGAAAAUGAAAAACCAAGGCACAGCCUGCUCUGUGCAUGUGACACUGGCAUUUUGUCAUACAGCAUUUCCAGAGUUGGCUCCAAACAAGAGAGGGGAGUGUAGAGGGGAGGACAGAGUCCAUGAAAGACUUAAGGAUUCUUAUGCCUCAGUGAGUGAAGAAAGGAAAGCACACAGCUGGAGGCAGAGGACUUGAAGGCAGCAGACUUCAAUGAACUCAGAGGAUAUUUGCAGAGAUAAGACUAAUAUUGGCCACUGAUUUAUGGAGAAAAACAGAUUAUUUGACAGAUGGUUGAGAUGUGGAGCUGUCAACUGGAUGCCUGAAAUGCCUUCUAAAGAGCCACAAGCUCACUUUUUUCUAUGGAGGUAUUCUAGAGACCUUAAGCUCCUUAAACAAAAUUAGCUCUUCUGAAUAGAUAUUUACAAUGUUACACUGACCAGAAACAAUUGCAAUAUCAUGGGUGAAUCACCACGACAUUAUAGUAGCACUGUAAUAUCAUAAUUUUGGAUACAUAUCUUACGUACCUCUGUAUCUUGGUUGUGGUUGGACUGUUGCUGUACACUGAGCUUCUGGGUGAGUGUUCCAUUGUUAUCAUAGAAUCAUAGAAUCCUUUGAGUUGUAAGGGAUCCUUAAAGGCCAUUUAGUUCAACCUUCCAGCCUUGUACAAGGACACCUACAGCUACAUUAGAUGCUCAGAGCCCUGUCCAACCUGACCUUGGGUGUCUCCAGGGAUUGGGGAUCCACCACCUCUCUGGGCAACCUGUGCCAGUGCCUCACCACCUCUAUUGUAAAAACCUUUUUCCUUAUAUCCAAUCUAAAUCUCCCCUCUUUUUAUUUGAAACUGUUGGGAAAAUUUCUGCUCUGAUAGGCUGGCCCAGUUAUCUUUAUUCCAAAAAGAGACAAAGGCUUUCUUUAUUCAAAUAAAGGGAGAGUCAACUAGGGGCAUAUCCCUGGAGGAUCUCUCGAAGUAUCGAGGGACAGAGCCCAUCUUUUAUCCCUGUACCCCUAUGCUAAGUAAGCCCUUCCUACUUUCCCCAUUGUUUAAGGUACUCAGGGUUCACAUACUUCUCAGUUUGCUGCACUCAUCCCCAGUAAGUACACUCCUUCAUUUCCUUUGUUUGUACAUACUUUGUAAUCUGGAUUCAGUUUGCUGUUUUGUAACCUGUGAAGUCUAUCACUCUUUGUUCUGUUCAGCAAACAGGAUUUACACACAGGUGCUAAGCUAGCACCUUCUGCCAUAUACCUGCAAGACAAGUUUGUUUAACUAGUUCUUCUUCUCUGAUCUUACUUUUCAAGGACAUCUUCUCCUUUCUUCUUUCAUCUCAAAACCAUUUCUCCUUGUCCUAUCAGAGCAGACCUUGGUAAAGAGUCUUUCCCCUUCCUUCUUACAGCCCCCUGUAGGUACCAACAAGCCACUCUCAGGUCACCCCACAGCCUUCUCUUUUCCAGGCUGAACAGCCCCAACUCUCUCAGCCUGUCCUCAUAGGGGAGGUGUUCCAUCCCUUGGAUGAACUUGUCCUGGCUUCUUGUCUUAACUUUGUUGGUGGCUGCUCUGGACCAAGCACUGUACAGAGAGCUUCAUCCACUGGAUGUGAUUUUGCAUUUGUGAGCAACAGCUUUACAAUCUGUCCAUGCACUGGGCUGGAGAGAAUGCUUAGGAAUUAUUAACUCCUUGUUGUCUCUGCUUAAUCUAAAUAACUUUGUGUCACCUUCGAAUCUACCUUCCCCAACUAUUUUGUGUGGUUUCUUAUUAAAGGAUUAUUUUUCAAUCAUCUUCUGUUCAAGGAAAAUGAGGUAUGAAAACAUAGUCAGUUUGAGUUGAAUGUUAUGUAAUCCUAAGUGGCAUCAAGACUUCCAUUGUUACUCUGAAGUAAAUUAAUAAUAUCCCUAAUCGAAAGCAUUUUGCUUUGCUAACUGACUUUGCUGUUUUUGCAAAAGUGAUUGCAGUAUAUACUGGGCAGUACAACUUCAGGCAAUAACCUCCUUCAAAAUGUGCACCAUAACAUGGCAUAUAACACACAGGAUCCAGAUUUAUGUGUUUCUCUAAUAAGGGGAAUUGCAGUGUUGAAAUGGUAAAGCUCAGAUUUAACCUGUUGUAAGUUUUCCCCCUUUCAUAUCUUGUGAGAGAUCCAUUGCCAACAGCAAAUGUUGAAGUAACAGGAUAGAUCAGUUUGGAGAAGGUCUUGGAAGAUCUGUAGAAAUAAAGCAACAGCCAGCUGGGCAUAUGAAAGGGUAGAACCUCACGUUUGCUAGCAAGGGGUUUAUUUGUGUAGAGUCCUAAGAAUUCCAGGUACUGACAUGCCCACCUCUGUCAAUUGGUCUCCUCUCAACUAUGGUGGGCAGCCUAUAUGCCUCCAGAGUUGAACACCUCAACAAGAUCCCUUCUCUCUGUACUUAUCCUUCUUUCUUAAGUUCCCUUCUUACCAGGCUUCUAAUAAAAUUCUGUUUUCAGGAUACUGCCAUCUAAUGCCUUUCCCCUGUGCUGGUUAGUCUCCUCUUGGGAAGUAAGUAAGCAAUUGAGGAAGAAGCAUCUUGGGCAUCGUCCAUCUUGGGUGAUGGGCUGACAUCUCCACCUGUGGUGAUCCUAACCACAGUUCCCUUUUACCUCCACUCUUCCCCCAUCAGGGUUCCUUCACUCUAGCACAACCUCAAAAAUAGCUAAAAGAGAAGAGGAUUUCUCUGUAAUUUUUACAAUCAUGAAAGUAAGAACUCCCACUUUCUUCUUCCCUGGUUAAUGUCCUAAAUUCUCUUGUACCUGUGUAAACAACUAGGAAAGACUGACUUUGAAAUUAUGCCCCUCCUGCCUUUUUUUGGGUCCAGCAGUUUAAGAGAUUUCACGGAUUUUGGACUUAAUGAUCAUUGUAGGCCCCUUCCAAUUGAAGCUGUUCUAUUCUAUUCUUAUUUUGCUUUUAGGACAAAAUUAGAUUCACUGAAAUGAUUAGCAGCUUUAUUAAGUGUUAAACAUGCAGCUGUACUAAAUAAGUUGAAUUAAUUUAACUGUAAAUAAGAGCCAAAAUUCAGUAUAAUCAAAUUAGUACAAUGAGCUGCAAUAACAGCUAUUGAAACAAAAUGAUGCAAUGUCAACUGCAUUUACAAUUUAUGCUGAUCUGGAAAAAAAAAAAAAAAAAAAAAAAAAGGUACCUGGGAAGACUGUCA